rnacentral:rRNA from 1 species
CGCACUAGUUCUAGAGUUUGUAUCCUCGGCUCAGGAUGAACGCUGGCGGCGUGCCUAACACAUGCAAGUCGAGCGCGACUGAUUUGAUGCUUGCAUCAUUGAAAGUUGAGCGGCGGACGGGUGAGUAACGCGUGGGUAACCUGCCCUAUACACAUGGAUAACAUACUGAAAAGUUUACUAAUACAUGAUAAUGUAUAUUUACGGCAUCGUAGAUAUACCAAAGUGUUAGCGGUAUAGGAUGGACCCGCGUCUGAUUAGCUAGUUGGUGAGAUAACUGCCCACCAAGGCGACGAUCAGUAGCCGACCUGAGAGGAUGAUCGGCCACAUUGGAACUGAGACACGGUCCAA